GUAUUUUUUUUUGAAUUAAGUUAAUUCAUAAAAACAAUUUAUCAGACAAAUUAGUUAAAUAUUAAGGAGUUUGAUAUAUAAUAAGAAAAUCCUCCUUCCCACAAAGAGGAAAGAGAAUUCUUAAAAAAAACAUUGCACACAAGAUGAAUAUGGAUGUUUUUAAGUGCCAUAAACACUUGACUUAUGAAUGAUCCUUCCGCAGGUUCACCUACGGAAA
rnacentral:misc_RNA from 1 species